rnacentral:rRNA from 1 species
GGUCAAGCUACUAAGGGCAAACGGUGGAUGCCUUGGUGCCAGAAGGCGAUGAAGGACGUGGCUGUCUGCGAUAAGCCCCGGGGAGCUGUCUAGCAAGCGUAGAUCCGGGGAUUUCCGAAUGGGGAAACCCUCCCGGAGUAAUGUCCGGGAACUCCGAUUGAUUCAAUCGGGGGGCGAUACCAGGGGAAUUGAAACAUCUUAGUACCCUGAGGAAUAGAAACCAACCGAGAUUCCCCCAGUAGCGGCGAGCGAAAAGGGAAGAGCCAAAACCUUACCGGUGGUAAAGCCUCCAGGCGUUGCCGGUAAGGGGUUGCGGGAAGUGGGUGUUUCGGGCUGGAGCCCGAAGGAAAAGUUACAAAAUUAUUCUUUAGUCUAAUGUCCUGGAAAGGACAACCAUAGAGGGUGAUAGUCCCGUAGACGAAAAAGGAUAAUCUUUUCUACCCGCUCUCCCUAGUAGUGCGGAGCACGUGAAACUCCGUAUGAAUCCGGGUGGACCACCAUCCAAGGCUAAAUACUAUCUGGCAACCGAUAGCGAACAAGUACCGUGAGGGAAAGGUGAAAAGAACCCCUUCGAGGGGAGUGAAAUAGAAUCUGAAACCGUCUGCCUACAAGCGGUCGGAGCUCUGUACAUAAAUUUAUUUGUGUGCGGGGUGACGGCGUGCCUUUUGCAUAAUGAGCCGGCGAGUUACUUCUAUGCAGCUUGGUUAAGUCCGAAAACGGAUGAAGCCGCAGGGAAACCGAGUCUUAACUGGGCGUAUAUGGUUGCAUGGAGUAGACCCGAAACCGAGUGAGCUACCCAUGGGCAGGUUGAAGUGACGGUAACACGUCAUGGAGGACCGAACCAGUUAGCGUUUAAAAGCUAUUGGAUGACCUGUGGGUCGGAGUGAAAGGCUAAUCAAACUCGGCGAUAGCUGGUUCUCCUCGAAAUAGCUUUAGGGCUAGCCUUGCAAAAUGGACAACGGGGGUAGAGCACUGAAUGGGUCAGGGAGCCUACCAGCUUACCGAAACCAAUCAAACUCCGAAUACCGUUGCACCUUAUUGCGGGAGUCAGACUGUGGGGGCUAAGCUCCAUGGUCGAAAGGGAAACAGCCCAGACCGUCAGCUAAGGUCCCUAAAUAUGGACUAAGUGAAAAAGGAAGUGAAGUCACAAGGACAGCUAGGAUGUUGGCUUAGAGGCAGCCAUCAUUUAAAGAGUGCGUAAUAGCUCACUAGUCGAGUGAUUUUGCGCCGAAAAUGAUCGGGGCUCAAGUCCAUUACCGAAGCUACGGGUGUCUCUUCCCCGGUUUACCGGGAGAGAGGCGCGGUAGAGGAGCGUUCCAUACUGAAUGAAGCGGGCCCGGAAGGGUCCCCGGUUUUUGCCGGGGCGCAAGCAGUGGACGGUAUGGCAGUGAUAAUGCCGGCAUGAGUAGCGAUAAUUGCGGUGAGAAUCCGCAACGCCGAAAACCCAAGGUUUCCUGGGCAAGGCUCGUCCUCCCAGGGUUAGUCGACCCCUAAGGCGUAGCCGAAAGGCGAAGCCGAUGGACAACGGGUUAAUAUUCCUGUACUACCUGACUCGCGAUCCCCGAUUCGUCGGGGGAGAGUAAUGGAGGGACGUAGGAGGCCAAAAAACUGCCAUCCUCGGAUUGGAAGUCGAGGUCUAAGCUGGUAGGGGGUCCUGGUAGGAAAAUCCGCCGGGGCAUAACUCCGAGAAGCGAAUGCGAGCCCAAUCUACGGAACGGGCGAAGUGGCUGGUGCCUGCUACCAAGAAAAUCUUCUAGCGAGUGAGUUGGGUAAUCGUACCGCAAACCGACACAGGUGGGUGGGGAGAGAAUCCUCAGGCGCGCGAGAGAACCCUCGUUAAGGAACUCGGCAAAAUGACCCCGUAACUUCGGAAGAAGGGGUUGUCAUUCCGGUGAGGCAUUUUACAUGCGGAGCUGGGAUGACAGACACAAAAUCGGCCCAGGCGACUGUUUAACAAAAACACAGGUCUCUGCUAAGUCGCAAGACAACGUAUAGAGACUGACGCGUGACCAAUGCUGUAAGGUUAAGGAGAGGAGUUAUCCUGCAUUUAUGUUGGAGAAGCUCUGAACCGAAGCCCCAGUGAAUGUCGGCCGUAACUAUAACGGUCCUAAGGUAGCGAAAUUCCUUGUCGGGUAAGUUCCGACCUGCACGAAACGCGUAACGAUCUGGGCACUGUCUCAACGAGGGACUCGGCGAAAUUGUAGUGGCGGUGAAGAUGCCGUCUACCCGCGACAGGACGGAAAGACCCCGUGAACCUUUACUGCAGCUUGAUAUUGAAUUUUAGUGCGGUAUGUGUAGGAUAGGUGGAAGGCUAUGAAGCCGGGGCGUCAGCUUCGGUGGAGCCACCCUUGAAAUACCACCCUUACUGUAGUGAAAUUCUAACCCCGUAACCAACGGGGGACAGUGUCUGGUGGGCAGUUUGACUGGGGCGGUUUCCUCCCAAAGUGUAACGGAGGAGCGCAAUGGUACUCUCAGCACGGUCGGCAAUCGUGCGCAGAGCGCAAAGGUAUAAGAGUGCUUGACUGCGAGACCGACGGGUCGAGCAGAUGCGAAAGCAGGCCUUAGUGAUCCGGUGGUUCCAUGUGGAAGGGCCAUCGCUCAACGGAUAAAAGGUACUCCGGGGAUAACAGGCUUAUCGGGCCCAAGAGUUCACAUCGACGGCCCGGUUUGGCACCUCGAUGUCGGCUCAUCACAUCCUGGGGGUGAAGAAGCUCCCAAGGGUCGGGCUGUUCGCCCGUUAAAGUGGUACGCGAGCUGGGUUCAGAACGUCGUGAGACAGUUCGGUCCUUAUCCGUCGUGGGCGCAGGAUAUUUGAGGAGAGCAAUCCUUAGUACGAGAGGACCGGGAUUGACGGACCUCUGGUGUUCCAGUUGUCGUGCCAACGGCAUUGCUGGGUAGCUAUGUUCGGAAAGGAUAAGCGCUGAAAGCAUCUAAGCGCCAAGCCCCCUCCAAGAUGAGAUAUCCCUAUCAGGCACCUUGAAGACGACGAGGUUGAUAGGCAGGGUGUGUAAGUGCGGUGACGCAUUUAGCUUACCUGUACUAAUCUGCCGAUCGGCUUGACCAG